UGGUUCUGGCAUNGAUGAAGAACGCAGCGAAAUGCGAUAAGUAAUGUGAAUUGCAGAAUUCAGUGAAUCAUCGAAUCUUUGAACGCACAUUGCGCCCGCUGGUAUUCCAGCGGGCAUGCCUGUUCGAGCGUCAUUUCAACCCUCAAGCCCAGCUUGGUGUUGGGGUACUGCCGCGCCUCCGCGCACGGCAGGCCCUGAAAUCUAGUGGCGAGCUCGCCAGGACUCCGAGCGUAGUAGUUUUACCACCUCGCUCAGGACGGACUGGCGGUGCCCUGCCGUAAAACCCCCCAAUUUACCAAUGGUUGACCUCGGAUCAGGUAGGAAUACCCGCUGA
rnacentral:misc_RNA from 1 species